ACCCACCCUUGCAAACACCUGCUCUGGCUGCUUCUCUGGUCUUGCGAGGGCCACUUAUCAUGGAGCCAGUUUCCAAAAUUCUGCCCUGGUCGGGAGUGUGUCCGAAGCCCGUGUGUCAUGAAAGGGCAGGGUUCCGAGGGACAGCUCGAGGAAGGGACUCCUGACCUUUUUCACUGAGUGUAUGCAACCAGAAUAGCUAGAAUAGCAACUCGCCCUCCAUCGAAGCUGAAAAACCGGUAUUGCCUUGGCCACUAUCGUGUCAGCCUUUCACUUAGCACCUCACACAAGCCACUAGUAAGUGAUUUUUGAUGAAUAAUUGCUAAGCUUGGUGAGCUCAGGUAGCAAUUGAGCCAAUCUCUCACCUAUAUCCACUAGAGGGCAGAACUACACCUGUGGCCAGCUCCUGAGCAUCCUCCAAAGACACCUCCCACCCGCAGUCUGCUCCAAAGAAAAAGCCCCUACGUGUUACAGAUCUGAACCUACACUGUUAGUUGGAAUUGUUACUGUAUAUUGCCAGUCUUCUGGGUUGGAUAUGAACAUGCCAAGGGUGUGCAGUUGAAGAUAAGAAAAGAAAAAGAAAAGCAAGAUGAAUGUCUCUCGGUGCACCCCUGCUCCCAGCAGCAUCAGUAAUACCGGCAGCACUGGCACUACCUGUGAAUUCUGCAGAAAGGCACGCUCUCAGAUCUUCCCGGGACCAACUGAACCAGAAAGCCUCAGGGUGGAUUGAACAAGAUUUCCUAACGAUGUGAAUGCUUGAAGGAGUACUUCGGAUUGAAUCUCAUACAUGCAAAGCAGAUACUUUACCACUGAGCUCUCCAAAUUUGACUCAUUUACACCAUGGAAAAAUACAAAUGUGCUAGGAAGGUAAAAAUGCCAACAUUGCACAUUUUGAUUAAAGCAUUUAAUUUAAGGAAAAUAAAAAUCAAUUUUCACUGAACAA